UACUAUGGUGAGCUGGGUGGGGCAACCUUCGGGUUGGCCGUUCCUGUGACGGUAGUGCGAACCCUGCUCAGCUCAUCACCAAU
rnacentral:antisense_RNA from 16 species